rnacentral:rRNA from 1 species
UACAGAGGGGGCAAGCGUUGUUCGGAAUUACUGGGCGUAAAGGGCGCGUAGGCGCCUUCUAAGUCGAACGUGAAAUCCCCCGGGCUCAACCCGGGAACUGCGUCCGAUACUGGAAGGCUUGAAUCCGGGAGAGGGAUGCGGAAUUCCAGGUGUAGCGGUGAAAUGCGUAGAUAUCUGGAGGAACACCGGUGGCGAAGGCGGCAUCCUGGACCGGCAUUGACGCUGAGGCGCGAAAGCCAGGGGAGCAAAGCGGG